UACGGAGGGAGCUAGCGUUGUUCGGAAUUACUGGGCGUAAAGCGCACGUAGGCGGCUUUGUAAGUUAGAGGUGAAAGCCCGGAGCUCAACUCCGGAACUGCCUUUAAGACUGCAUCGCUUGAAUCCAGGAGAGGUGAGUGGAAUUCCGAAUGUAGAGGUGAAAUUCGUAGAUAUUCGGAAGAACACCAGUGGCGAAGGCGGCUCACUGGACUGGUAUUGACGCUGAGGUGCGAAAGCGUGGGGAGCAAACAGG
rnacentral:rRNA from 1 species